rnacentral:rRNA from 1 species
UCCUACGGGGGGCAGCAGUGGGGAAUAUUGCACAAUGGGGGAAACCCUGAUGCAGCGACGCCGCGUGAGUGAAGAAGUAUUUCGGUAUGUAAAGCUCUAUCAGCAGGGAAGAAGAAAGACGGUACCUGACUAAGAAGCCCCGGCUAACUACGUGCCAGCAGCCGCGGUAAUACGUAGGGGGCAAGCGUUAUCCGGAUUUACUGGGUGUAAAGGGAGCGUAGACGGCAUAGCAAGUCUGAUGUGAAAGAUCGGGGCUCAACCCCGGGCCUGCAUUGGAAACUGUCAAGCUGGAGUA